AUUUUUAUUGUUUUGUCAUAAUGUAAUAUGUCAUUGCAAAAAGUUGAGAUUCGCAGGUAUCAUAUGUAUCUCAAACAGGAAGGUAUCAAUUAUAAAUGGAAGGAUUAGACACGCAGGUCUAUGAACAUGGUAAUAAUUAGGAGACUCGCAGGCCCCAAAUCAUACAUUAAGCAACCAUAAUAAUAGGGAUUCAUAGGUGGAACCAGUGUAAUUGAAGCAGUGUAAUUGAAGUAUCAAGAUAUUUCAUCAUACAGGUAAUAUAAUGUGGUAGCGUAGUGGAUAUACUAUAUUUCACAUUGGAUUAUCAUGUUAGCCUGAAAGGGAGGCACUUGAAAACACGUUAUAUAGAGCAUGGUCACUACUCUAAUAUGGACCAAUUUAUCACUUAUUGUGAUUUUUCAUUUUACUGUGUUACACUAUGAUUGUUAUUAUUAUUAUUUUUUUACAGAGACUCAUGUAAUGCCACUACACUUCUCACAAGAUUAUCCAAUAACAGAAAAAUAUUAGUCGUAAUAUUAGUCAUAAAGUUGUGUAUAACAGGUAAUAUGCAUUGCGUGACAUUUCGCAGAUACAACACUAUUUUAGAAGGUAAGGUUUCACUAACGUGUAACAAACAAGUCUAGUACAGAGAGUGAGGUUAAUCUUAGAACAGAAGAGUGUAACUAGUCACGGUGAUGAUGAAACAUGAACCGGCAAUAAGUUAUUAAUUGGAAUGGCUGCAGAGAUUGCCUUUUUUUUUAAUAUGGUUUUCUUAGUUAUUGGUUCAGCGUGUGAUCAUCCAUCAUGACUUGGAUCUGAGACUCGUAGGUCUCUUAUACAGCUUGAGAGGUAAUAUAUAAGAGUGUUACUGUAACAGGUUUAGACUCGCAGGUCUGGUAACAAUUCGGAGAGGGUGAGACACGCAGGUCUCGCAGCUUACUUCCUGCAGUCAUGUGGUUCUGUGACUACCCUGAUCCGCAACCUUAACCUUAUGAGCUUGUUAUCUGGCAUGCCCCUGGUGUGGUGUGUUGCGAGCAGUGUGCGUUUGCUUAGAUUGUGAUUUUAUCGUUUCGUGCCUUGUUUUUCUUAUGUAUUUAUGUUUAUUUGGUUUCGUUUGGUGUAUCAUAAGGGCAGUCAUCUUCUCUUGAGUUUGCGACAUACAGGUCGCAUGAGUCGUUCAACUGACUCUGGUGGCGUAAUGAAGUGUAGGGACAUAGCAAUAUAGGCAUGCAGGUCUUGCUAUAACUGUGUGAUUUGGGAAUUCGCCUGUCCUAACUCGUGCCUUGUGUCUCAGUCGUGAGAUGCGGUAAUGUCUCUGGUUUCUGCCUGUAUUUGUGAUAGCAAGCCUUGAGAGGUAGGUUUGUAGUUAAUAUGUGUGAAUGUCGAGUCUCCUUUUCCCCCCCUUUUAAGUGUCCUGUUGGGAUUUGUCGUCCCCCUCCUUCCCCUUUCCUCUCCGAUCCCUAUCUCAUCUCAGUGUUUUUCAUGGGGUUUAGGUUCAGUGUGGUACUUUGAGAUUUAGUGGGGGCCUAUACUCGGGGUUGAUGAAAGUUGUGUCUGGGGAACCAACCCAUAACAGUUCGCAGUUUGUUCUGUGCGAGUUUUGUUCCCCAUCUGCAUGCCUUUAGGGUUAGUUUUUAGGUUGUGCUGGUCAUCUCUAUCUCUCUCCCCGCCUCCCCUUCUUCUCGGGUGUGGCUACGUGCCCCCGUGUUCGAGGUGGGGCACUCAUUCUGCGUGCCCUGACCCCACGCGCCGGCAUCCCCAUCACCCCUCCCCGUGAUUCCGUCUGAUGGGUCCGGAAGGAUUGUAACCUUAAUCCUGAGUAUUUACGGGUGUGUGCAUGAGAGGUAAUAUAAGAGUGUUACUGUAACACUCGCUGUCUGGUUAUAUGUAGUGGUUCCCUGUGACUCUAUGCCUCUUGUUAAUGGUGUCUGUCAGGUGCCCAACCUCUCCGCAGGUCGGUUUCCCAUUCUCCAUAUAGGGGCUGAGUAACAGUUCUGUGUCCGUGGGUUGUGUGGUGUUGUGUUCUAUCGAAUUAUCGUGGAUAAUGGAAUUCUGGUCCAGGGAUAAAGGAGUUGGUACUGUUAGUC